UACAAACCAUGCAUGUAUUUCCGUAAAAUAUCGAUCUAUUUAAUAUCAAUCGCGUGUUAUUAAAUAGGAAAAAAUUCUGCCGUGCUCCCUUGGCCUGACAACGAUGCAGCAAUGGGGAUCCAUGCGCCCGAUAACCAGGCUGAUAUGGAAACCACAACACCCGAAGAGGAUGGCUAGGUCCAUGUGAGAAAAUAUACACGUUCACUAACCUAUCUUCGCUUGUUAUGUCCACAGGACGAGGUUUUUGAAAAGGAAACUGACUUAGAAGUUGAAAAUAAGGAGCAGCA